CGGGAAACCGGGGCUAAUGCCGGAUAACAUUUAGAACCGCAUGGUUCUAAAGUGAAAGAUGGUUUUGCUAUCACUUAUAGAUGGACCCGCGCCGUAUUAGCUAGUUGGUAAGGUAAUGGCUUACCAAGGCAACGAUACGUAGCCGACCUGAGAGGGUGAUCGGCCACACUGGAACUGAGACACGGUCCAGACUCCUACGGGAGGCAGCAGUAGGGAAUCUUCCGCAAUGGGCGAAAGCCUGACGGAGCAACGCCGCGUGAGUGAUGAAGGGUUUCGGCUCGUAAAACUCUGUUAUUAGGGAAGAACAAACGUGUAAGUAACUGUGCACGUCUUGACGGUACCUAAUCAGAAAGCCACGGCUAACUACGUGCCAGCAGCCGCGGUAAUACGUAGGUGGCAAGCGUUAUCCGGAAUUAUUGGGCGUAAAGCGCGCGUAGGCGGUUUCUUAAGUCUGAUGUGAAAGCCCACGGCUCAACCGUGGAGGGUCAUUGGAAACUGGGAGACUUGAGUGCAGAAGAGGAAAGUGGAAUUCCAUGUGUAGCGGUGAAAUGCGCAGAGAUAUGGAGGAACACCAGUGGCGAAGGCGACUUUCUGGUCUGUAACUGACGCUGAUGUGCGAAAGCGUGGGGAUCAAACAGGAUUAGAUACCCUGGUAGUCCACGCCGUAAACGAUGAGUGCUAAGUGUUAGGGGGUUCCGCCCCUUAGUGCUGCAGCUAACGCAUUAAGCAUCCGCCUGGGGAGUACGACCGCAAGGUUGAAACUCAAAGAAUUGACGGGGACCCGCACAAGCGGUGGAGCAUGUGGUUUAAUUCGAAGCAACGCGAAGAACCUUACCAAACUUGACAUCCUUUGACCACUCUAGAGAUAGAGUUUUCCCCUUCGGGGGACAAAGUGACAGGUGGUGCAUGGUGUCGUCAGCUCGUGUCGUGAGAUGUUGGGUUAAGUCCCGCAACGAGCGCAACCCUUACUUAGUUGCCAGCAUUAGUGGGACUUAAGGUGACUGCCGUGACAAACCGGAGGAAGGUGGGGAUGACGUCAAAUCAUCAUGCCCCUUAUGAUUUGGGCUACACACGUGCUACAAUGGACAAUACAAAGGGCAGCUACACCGCGAGGUCAUGCAA
rnacentral:rRNA from 1 species